rnacentral:rRNA from 1 species
UACGUAGGGGGCAAGCGUUAUCCGGAAUUAUUGGGCGUAAAGCGUCCGUAGGUGGUUAUUCAAGUCUUUUGUUAAAUAGUGGAGCUCAACUCCAUAGAGGCGGAAGAAACUGAGUAACUUAAGUGCGGUAGGGGUAGAGGGAAUUCCAGGUGUAGCGGUGAAAUGCGUAGAUAUCUGGAAGAACACCAGUGGCGAAGGCGCUCUACUGGGCCGUAACUGACAGUGAGGGACGAAGCCCUGGGGCGCAAACCGG